UGGUGCAAGGUGUCUGGGUUCUCGUUCAGCUCCAGCCGGGCUUUCUCCAGAGUCUCCGGGGAGAGACCUGCCUGCAAGGAAGUUUGAUGCUGCAGUCGGCUUUCAGAAGUUUCCACUGAAGAACAUUUGACCUUUGUCGGAGGGGCUGGACCUUUCCGAUGCAAAUCUGACUGAAAACGAAGCUUGCACGACAGAUAGAGCAAAUACAGGAGAAGACAGCAUGCACCUCCUCCUGCUCCUCCUUCUAAGAGGAAGCACAGUGCAUGGCUACUGCAUUGGGCUCCUCUCCCAAGAUGACACAGCCAGAGCACACAGACUGAAUUAUUGAAAAGGCGCUGAGCUCACUGGUCUGUGGAGAGAGUGUAUGUGGGGAGUGCACCAGUGUGAGUGCUCCCUGUCUUCUCAGGCAAAUAAAGAUGCUCAUGAAAACA